rfam:Schistosoma curassoni strain Dakar, Senegal genome assembly, scaffold: SCTD_contig0026632
AUCCGGUUGACGAGUCCCAGAUAGGACGAGACGGGCGUCCUGGAU